GGGUAGUUUGACUGGGGCGGUCUCCUCCCAAAGAGUAACGGAGGAGCACGAAGGUUAGCUAAUCCUGGUCGGACAUCAGGAGGUUAGUGCAAUGGCAUAAGCUAGCUUGACUGCGAGCGUGACGGCGCGAGCAGGUGCGAAAGCAGGUCAUAGUGAUCCGGUGGUUCUGAAUGGAAGGGCCAUCGCUCAACGGAUAAAAGGUACUCCGGGGAUAACAGGCUGAUACCGCCCAAGAGUUCAUAUCGACGGCGGUGUUUGGCACCUCGAUGUCGGCUCAUCACAUCCUGGGGCUGAAGUAGGUCCCAAGGGUAUGGCUGUUCGCCAUUUAAAGUGGUACGCGAGCUGGGUUUAGAACGUCGUGAGACAGUUCGGUCCCUAUCUGCCGUGGGCGCUGGAGAAUUGAGGGGGGCUGCUCCUAGUACGAGAGGACCGGAGUGGACGCAUCACUGGUGUUCGGGUUGUCAUGCCAAUGGCACUGCCCGGUAGC
rnacentral:rRNA from 1 species